GAUGAACGCUGACAGAAUGCUUAACACAUGCAAGUCCACUUGAACUUCGGUUUGGGUGGCGGACGGGUGAGUAACGCGUAAAGAACUUGCCUCACAGAUAGGGACAACAUUUGGAAACGAAUGCUAAUACCUGAUAUUAUGAUUAUAUGGCAUCGUAUAAUUAUGAAAGCUAUAUGCGCUGUGAGAGAGCUUUGCGUCCCAUUAGCUAGUUGGAGAGGUAACGGCUCACCAAGGCGAUGAUGGGUAGCCGGCCUGAGAGGGUGAUCGGCCACAAGGGGACUGAGACACGGCCCUUACUCCUACGGGAGGCAGCAGUGGGGAAUAUUGGACAAUGGACCAAGAGUAUGAUCCAGCAAUUCUGUGUGAACGAUGAAGUUUUUCGGAAUGUAAAGUGCUUUCAGUUGGGAAGAAAAAAAUGACGGUACCAACAGAAGAAGUGACGGCUAAAUACGUG
rnacentral:rRNA from 1 species